rnacentral:rRNA from 1 species
UAGUGACAGGUGCUGCAUGGCUGUCGUCAGCUCGUGUCGUGAGAUGUUGGGUUAAGUCCCGCAACGAGCGCAACCCUCGUCCUUAGUUGCCAUCAUUAAGUUGGGCACUUUAAGGAAACUGCCGGUGAUAAGCCGGGAGGAAGGUGGGGAUGACGUCAAGUCCUCAUGGCCCUUACAGGCUGGGCUACACACGUGCUACAAUGGCAUCUACAGUGGGCAGCUAUUCCGCAAGGAUGCGCUAAUCUCCAAAAGAUGUCUCAGUUCGGAUUGUCCUCUGCAACUCGAGGGCAUGAAGGCGGAAUCGCUAGUAAUCGCGGAUCAGCAUGCCGCGGUGAAUACGUUCCCAGGCCUU